CUGCUUGCUUUGGCAGCACUUAUAUUAAAAUUGGAACAAUAAAGAAUUAGCAUGGCUUCUAUGCAAGGAUGACACAAAUUUGCUAAGCAUUACAUAGUUUU
rnacentral:snRNA from 1 species